rnacentral:rRNA from 1 species
GACGAACGCUGGCGGCAGGCCUAACACAUGCAAGUCGAGCGCCCCGCAAGGGGAGCGGCGGACGGGUGAGUAACGCGUGGGAACGUACCCUUUGCUACGGAAUAGCCUCGGGAAACUGGGAGUAAUACCGUAUGUGCCCUUCGGGGGAAAGAUUUAUCGGCAAAGGAUCGGCCCGCGUUGGAUUAGGUAGUUGUGGGGUAAUGGCCUACCAAGCCGACGAUCCAUAGCNGGUUUGAGAGGAUGAUCAGCCACACUGGGACUGAGACACGGCCCAGACUCCUACGGGAGGCAGCAGUGGGGAAUCUUAGACAAUGGGCGCAAGCCUGAUCUAGCCAUGCCGCGUGAGCGAUGAAGGCCUUAGGGUUGUAAAGCUCUUUCAGUGGGGAAGAUAAUGACUGUACCCACAGAAGAAGCCCCGGCUAACUCCGUG